rnacentral:lncRNA from 1 species
AUUAAUAAAAGGAGGUAACCCCUAUAAUUACAAUGGGAUUGUUUACAAAGAGACCAUUUAUCUUUUGUGCAUGGAGGUCACAACUAUUUUCAUUCAUUAGAUGUCAAAUUAGAUGGUUUGGGGUGAGUCACAAAGUCCAAUAAAUUUUUUCUUGUUGAACUUUGUGUCUAUUAAAUGACACUAUUACAACUGGCCAUUUUGAAAUUUAAGGGGCAAAAAUAAUUAUGACCCCAUGUACAAAAGAUAAACGGUCUAUCUGUAAACAAUCCCAAUUACAAUUUUAUAAAGGAAGCAAUAGAGAGAGAGUCGCCACUUCUUAGAACGGCCAAGCAACACUCCUAAAAUGCAUCCAAAUGCUGAACCUUAAAGCUUCUAUACUACCAACAAACUUAGAACCCUACGCCUCUUCAAUCCCUCGGUCUGAGGCCCGAUUUCUCACCACCACUCCUAAGCGCCAUCCCUUCUAUAAUCUGCACACAACCGGACAUACAAUACAAUUACUGCGCCCAAAACAUGAAACUCAGCUACUCUCAUGGCAGCGUCUAAAGGUUGUCGAUGUAACCAACGACUAAGAAGUAGGGUUUAAAUAAUUGGACAAGAGAGAAGUGGGUGGGAAAAGGAACCAUAUAGGGAGAUAGCUAAGGGACCAAGACAAUGGUGAUAGAGGAAACAAUCGUAGACACCUCGUCAAGGACACUAUAUAAGGCCAUGAUUAAGGAGAUUGUAUGCUUAAAAGGGAUACAAAUCUCUGCGAUUGGGCUCAAAAAGGUCCGCAACCGGGCUCAAAAAGGUCCGCAGCCAGGCCCACCCUGUCUUAGUUGUUAACCUUAAAUGACCUAAUACAGAAGAAUUUCCGACCCAUAUGAAAAACUCACGAGCCGCGGAAAAAAUCAAGAUAGGAUCUCAAACCUAGAAGAAGGGAAAACCCCAUUUUAAGCAUUAACUUUCUUAGAGUAGAUGAGAAUUGUGAGACAAAAAGAUGGUGGCCUGAAUAUAAGAAGAUCUUAGACGAGGGGUGAAGGGGCAAAAGGGAUGGGAGAAGAGAUGAAUGGGUGACUGGGGGAGAGAUGAUCCCUUCCUCUCCCAAACACUUAGACGCUUUCUCUCCUUGAGGGAAAAAGAGCUGUUGAAAAGGGUUUAGGAAAAGGACUGUGGAAAACUAGCCGAGAGAGUGAGAGAGACUUAAGUGUGAUUUGGCUAGACAAUAGAGAACAAAGGAGGAUUAUCAGAUGGUCAAGAUAAGUACGAAAUAAAAAACAGUAGGGUGGGAAGGGAAAAAAAGGCUUGCGGAGAGGGGAGAGAGAUAGAGGCAAAGAGAAGAGCAAAGGGGGAGCUUAGACGAAGCGAUCAACAAAAGAAGCUUAGGAGAAGUCUAAAAAAAGGUGGAGAAGCAAUAAUAGCUUGGAUUAACAAAAGGAAAAAAGUGAAAAAAGAAGAAAAAUCACUGAACAUCUACAAAGAGCAAUGAGUAGAUCCUACUACACAUCAAACAGGUCGAGCUUCAAAUCAAGGAGAUCUCGCUUUGCAGCCUGCAGGUCUAGAAAUUGAGAAAACAAGGCCAUACUGAUGCUUGAUCCCAGCGUUGUAGAAUUUUUUUCAUUUUAAUCGUUGAGGCUGUCCAGGCAGGCGGGCAAUUUACGCAAAAGCAAUAGUGUUCCAACUAAAUCAGAAGAAACUGCUUGAACACUUUGGGCACGCAGCCAAAAGGUGCCUAUGAAGGGCUUCACUAGACAAUAGCCCCCCCGGCUGGUCUGGCUUCGGCUCCCUUGCGACUUCACACAGCUUCAAGUACCCACUUGAUAAAUGGCUUAAGAUUUCAUCCCUUGUUUCACCUUCUUGUGUGAGGAUUGAAUGGGCGGUUUGUAGGCUUUUAAAAAGGGUUUGAGGGUGGAGAGUGCGGUUAGGUUUCAGAGUUAAAAGGAUUCGAGAAUUGGGGUAAAGGAGAAGAGAGGAUGUGGUAUGGAAGGAAUGAAAAGAAUAAAAGAAGAUAGAAUAGAAAUGAGUCACUUGAUAAUUGGGCAGCC